CCUACGGGAGGCAGCAGUGAGGGAUUUUGGUCCAUGGGCGCUAGCCUGAACGAGCCAAGUAGCGUGAAGGAUUACUGCCCUACGGGUUGUAAACUUCUUUUAUAUGUGAAUAAAGUGCAGUAUGUAUACUUCUUUGCAUGUACCUUAUGAAUAACGAUCGGCUAACUCCGUGCCAGCAGCCGGGGUUAUCCGGAGGAUGCGGGCGUUAUCCGGAUUUAUUGGGUUAAAAGGGUGCGCAGGUGGAUUUUUAAGUCAGCGGUAAAAUCUUGGGGCUCAACCCCAUCCAGCAGUUGAAACUGGUGAUCUAGAGUGUGGGAGAGGUAGGCGGAAUGCGUGGUGUAGCGGUGAAAUGCAUAGAUAUCACGAAGAACUCCGAUUGCGAAGGCAGCAUACCGGAGCCCAACUGACGCUGAAGCACGAAAGCGUGGGUAUCGAACAGGAUUAGAUACCCCAGUAGUC
rnacentral:rRNA from 1 species